UAGGACUCUCGGCAAUGGAUAUCUUGGCUCUCGCAUCGAUGAAGAGCGCAGCGAAAUGCGAUACGUGGUGCGAAUUGCAGAAUCCCGUGAACCAUCGAGUCUUUGAACGCAAGUUGCGCCUGAGGCCAACUGGCCAAGGGCACGUCCGCCUGGGCGUCAAGC
rnacentral:rRNA from 3 species